UACAGAGGUCUCAAGCGUUGUUCGGAUUCAUUGGGCGUAAAGGGUGCGUAGGCGGCGCGGUAAGUCGGGUGUGAAAUUUCGGAGCUUAACUCCGAAACUGCAUUCGAUACUGGCGUGCUUGAGGACUGGAGAGGAGACUGGAAUUUACGGUGUAGCGGUGAAAUGCGUAGAUAUCGUAAGGAAGACCAGUGGCGAAGGCGGGUCUCUGGACAGUUCCUGACGCUGAGGCACGAAGGUCAGGGGGAGCAAACGGGG
rnacentral:rRNA from 1 species